GGUUAUGAUUAUUCAAGGAUGCCAGGGCAGAUGUCUCCCACUCCGCCAUGAAAAUGUUUGCGUAUGCCGUCCGACACUAUGGGCCUCCCGGGCGGAAUCUCAAAAGGAACACUCCACUUUGAGGGCUCCUUGUGGAUUUUGGGGAGGAGAUAAAAAAGUCUGGGCCUCGGGAUCGGGU